UUGUCGGUGAGUUUCGGGAGGGACCAGGAAGCCGGGUACCUGUCGCUGCUCUGUUAGCCUGAUCCUGAGCUGUUUUCCGCUCAGUCCGGACAUCAUUCCGCCUCCUCAUCUCUUCGUGGACCUUUAAACAAACCAAGGCGGAAACAUGGCUCAGAAGAUCAAGGCAGGCUCCGUGGUGGAGAUGCAGGGAGACGAGAUGACUCGAGUCAUCUGGGAGCUCAUCAAGGAGAAA